UUCGGGGUACACGAGCGGCGAACGGGUGAGUAACACGUGGGUGAUCUGCCUCGCACUCUGGGAUAAGCCUGGGAAACUGGGUCUAAUACCGGAUAUGACCACGAAUCGCAUGGUUUGUGGUGGAAAGGUUUACUGGUGCGAGAUGGGCCCGCGGCCUAUCAGCUUGUUGGUGGGGUAACGGCCUACCAAGGCGACGACGGGUAGCCGGCCUGAGAGGGCGACCGGCCACACUGGGACUGAGACACGGCCCAGACUCCUACGGGAGGCAGCAGUGGGGAAUAUUGCACAAUGGGCGAAAGCCUGAUGCAGCGACGCCGCGUGAGGGAUGACGGCCUUCGGGUUGUAAACCUCUUUCGACAGGGACGAAGCGCAAGUGACGGUACCUGUAGAAGAAGCACCGGCCAACUACGUGCCAGCAGCCGCGGUAAUACGUAGGGUGCGAGCGUUGUCCGGAAUUACUGGGCGUAAAGAGCUUGUAGGCGGUCUGUCGCGUCGAUCGUGAAAACGUGCAGCUCAACUGCGCGCCUGCGGUCGAUACGGGCAGACUAGAGUACUUCAGGGGAGACUGGAAUUCCUGGUGUAGCGGUGAAAUGCGCAGAUAUCAGGAGGAACACCGGUGGCGAAGGCGGGUCUCUGGGAAGUAACUGACGCUGAGAAGCGAAAGCGUGGGUAGCGAACAGGAUUAGAUACCCUGGUAGUCCACGCCGUAAACGGUGGGUACUAGGUGUGGGUUUCCUUCCACGGGAUCCGUGCCGUAGCUAACGCAUUAAGUACCCCGCCUGGGGAGUACGGCCGCAAGGCUAAAACUCAAAGGAAUUGACGGGGGCCCGCACAAGCGGCGGAGCAUGUGGAUUAAUUCGAUGCAACGCGAAGAACCUUACCUGGGUUUGACAUACACCGGAAACCUGCAGAGAUGUAGGCCCCCUUGUGGUCGGUGUACAGGUGGUGCAUGGCUGUCGUCAGCUCGUGUCGUGAGAUGUUGGGUUAAGUCCCGCAACGAGCGCAACCCUUAUCUUAUGUUGCCAGCGCGUAAUGGCGGGGACUCGUGAGAGACUGCCGGGGUCAACUCGGAGGAAGGUGGGGACGACGUCAAGUCAUCAUGCCCCUUAUGUCCAGGGCUUCACACAUGCUACAAUGGCCGGUACAGAGGGCUGCGAUACCGUGAGGUGGAGCGAAUCCCUUAAAGCCGGUCUCAGUUCGGAUCGGGGUCUGCAACUCGACCCCGUGAAGUUGGAGUCGCUAGUAAUCGCAGAUCAGCAACGCUGCGGUGAAUACGUUCCCGGGCCUUGUACACACCGCCCGUCACGUCAUGAAAGUCGGUAA
rnacentral:rRNA from 1 species